rnacentral:rRNA from 1 species
GUGCCAGCAGCCGCGGUAAUACGUAGGGCGCAAGCGUUAUCCGGAAUUAUUGGGCGUAAAGAGCUCGUAGGCGGUUUGUCGCGUCUGCUGUGAAAUCCGGAGGCUCAACCUCCGGCCUGCAGUGGGUACGGGCAGACUAGAGUGCGGUAGGGGAGAUUGGAAUUCCUGGUGUAGCGGUGGAAUGCGCAGAUAUCAGGAGGAACACCGAUGGCGAAGGCAGAUCUCUGGGCCGUAACUGACGCUGAGGAGCGAAAGGGUGGGGAGCAAACAGGCUUAGAUACCCUGGUAGUCCACCCCGUAAACGUUGGGAACUAGUUGUGGGGUCCAUUCCACGGAUUCCGUGACGCAGCUAACGCAUUAAGUUCCCCGCCUGGGGAGUACGGCCGCAAGGCUAAAACUCAAAGGAAUUGACGGGGACCCGCACAAGCGGCGGAGCAUGCGGAUUAAUUCGAUGCAACGCGAAGAACCUUACCAAGGCUUGACAUAUACGAGAACGGGCCAGAAAUGGUCAACUCUUUGGACACUCGUAAACAGGUGGUGCAUGGUUGUCGUCAGCUCGUGUCGUGAGAUGUUGGGUUAAGUCCCGCAACGAGCGCAACCCUCGUUCUAUGUUGCCAGCACGUAAUGGUGGGAACUCAUGGGAUACUGCCGGGGUCAACUCGGAGGAAGGUGGGGAUGACGUCAAAUCAUCAUG